rnacentral:rRNA from 1 species
GAUGAACGCUGGCGGCGUGCCUAAUACAUGCAAGUCGAGCGAAUGGAUUAAGAGCUUGCUCUUAUGAAGUUAGCGGCGGACGGGUGAGUAACACGUGGGUAACCUGCCCAUAAGACUGGGAUAACUCCGGGAAACCGGGGCUAAUACCGGAUAACAUUUUGACCCGCAUGUUUCGAAAUUGAAAGACGGAUUCGGCUUUCAUUUAUGGAUGGACCCGCGUCGCAUUAGCUAGGUGGUGAGGUAACGGCCCACCAAGGCAACGAUGCGUAGCCGACCUGAGAGGGUGAUCGGCCACACUGGGACUGAGACACGGCCCAGACUCCUACGGGAGGCAGCAGUAGGGAAUCUUCCGCAAUGGACGAAAGUCUGACGGAGCAACGCCGCGUGAGUGAUGAAGGCUUUCGGGUCGUAAAACUCUGUUGUUAGGGAAGAACAAGUGCUAGUUGAAUAAGCUGGCACCUUGACGGUACCUAACCAGAAAGCCACGGCUAACUACGUGCCAGCCGCCGCAGUAA